rnacentral:rRNA from 1 species
UGGUAGUCCAUGCCGUAAACGAUGUCUACUAGCCGUUGGGGCCUUUGAGGCUUUAGUGGCGCAGCUAACGCGAUAAGUAGACCGCCUGGGGAGUACGGUCGCAAGACUAAAACUCAAAUGAAUUGACGGGGGCCCGCACAAGCGGUGGAGCAUGUGGUUUAAUUCGAUGCAACGCGAAGAACCUUACCUGGCCUUGACAUACUAGAAACUUUCCAGAGAUGGAUUGGUGCCUUCGGGAAUCUAGAUACAGGUGCUGCAUGGCUGUCGUCAGCUCGUGUCGUGAGAUGUUGGGUUAAGUCCCGCAACGAGCGCAACCCUUUUCCUUACUU